rnacentral:rRNA from 1 species
UAACCGAAUAGGGGAGCCGGAGGGAAACCGAGUCUUAAUUGGGCGUUAAGUUGCAGGGUAUAGACCCGAAACCCGGUGAUCUAGCCAUGGGCAGGUUGAAGGUUGGGUAACACUAACUGGAGGACCGAACCGACUAAUGUUGAAAAAUUAGCGGAUGACCUGUGGCUGGGGGUGAAAGGCCAAUCAAACCGGGAGAUAGCUGGUUCUCCCCGAAAGCUAUUUAGGUAGCGCCUCGUGAAUUCAUCUCCGGGGGUAGAGCACUGUUUCGGCUAGGGGGCCAUCCCGGCUUACCAACCCGAUGCAAACUGCGAAUACCGGAGAAUGUUAUCACGGGAGACACACGGCGGGUGCUAACGUCCGUCGUGAAGAGGGAAACAACCCAGACCGCCAGCUAAGGUCCCAAAGUCAUGGUUAAGUGGGAAACGAUGUGGGAAGGCCCAGACAGCCAGGAUGUUGGCUUAGAAGCAGCCAUCAUUUAAAGAAAGCGUAAUAGCUCACUGGUCGAGUCGGCCUGCGCGGAAGAUGUAACGGGGCUAAACCAUGCACCGAAGCUGCGGCAGCGAACGUAUCACCCAAGACAACUUUACGGAGUUGACGAUUGACGGAGCGAAGCGACGUCAAAGCGUUCAUUAAAGUCGAGUUGGCUUAGGGAUACGUUCGUUGGGUAGGGGAGCGUUCUGUAAGCCUGUGAAGGUGUGUCGUGAGGCAUGCUGGAGGUAUCAGAAGUGCGAAUGCUGACAUAAGUAACGAUAAAGCGGGUGAAAAGCCCGCUCGCCGGAAGACCAAGGGUUCCUGUCCAACGUUAAUCGGGGCAGGGUGAGUCGACCCCUAAGGCGAGGCCGAAAGGCGUAGUCGAUGGGAAACGGGUUAAUAUUCCCGUACUUGGUGUUACUGCGAAGGGGGGACGGAGAAGGCUAUGUUGGCCGGGCGACGGUUGUCCCGGUUUAAGCGUGUAGGUGUGUGUUCCAGGUAAAUCCGGUUCACUUUAACACUGAGGCGUGACGACGA